CCUACGGGAGGCAGCAGUGAGGAAUAUUGGUCAAUGGACGAGAGUCUGAACCAGCCACGUCGCGUGAAUGAUGACUGCCCUAGGAGUUGUAAACUUCUUUUAUAAGGGACUAAAACGCGGCACGUGUGCCUUUUUGCAUGUACUUUAUGAAUAAGGAUCGGCUAACUCCGUGCCAGCAGCCGCGGUAAUACGGAGGAACCGAGCGUUAUCCGGAUUUAUUGGGUUUAAAGGGAGCGUAGAUGGGUUGUUAAGUCAGUUGUGAAAGUUUGCGGCUCAACCGUAAAAUUGCAAUUGAUACUGGCAGUCUUGAGUACAGUAGAGGUAGGUGGAAUUCGUGGUGUAGCGGUGAAAUGCGUAGAUAUCAGGAAGAACCCCGAUUGCGAAGGCAGCUUUCUAAACUGUGACUGACAUUGAUGCUCGAAAGUGUGGGUAUCAAACAGGAUUAGAUACCCGUGUAGUC
rnacentral:rRNA from 1 species